rnacentral:rRNA from 1 species
GAUGAACGCUGGCGGCGUGCCUAAUACAUGCAAGUCGAGCGAACAGACGAGGAGCUUGCUCCUCUGACGUUAGCGGCGGACGGGUGAGUAACACGUGGAUAACCUACCUAUAAGACUGGGAUAACUUCGGGAAACCGGAGCUAAUACCGGAUAAUAUAUUGAACCGCAUGGUUCAAUAGUGAAAGACGGUUUUGCUGUCACUUAUAGAUGGAUCCGCGCCGCAUUAGCUAGUUGGUAAGGUAACGGCUUACCAAGGCAACGAUGCGUAGCCGACCUGAGAGCGUGAUCGGCCACACUGGAACUGAGACACGGUCCAGACUCCUACGGGAGGCAGCAGUCGGGAAUCUUCCGCAAUGGGCGAAAGCCUGACGGAGCAACGCCGCGCGAGUGAUGAAGGUCUUCGGAUCGUAAAACUCUGUUAUUAGGGAAGAACACAUGUCUAAGUAACUAUGCACGUCUUGACGGUACCUAAUCAGAAAGCCACGGCUAACUACGUG